AGUCAACAUGCCCAGGGGACGUGGAUAACCUCGGGAAACUGAGGAUAAACCGCGAUAGGUCAUCAUUUCUGGAAUGGGUAAUGACUUAAAUCUAUAUGGCCCCUGGAUUGGACUGCGGCCGAUCAGGCUGUUGGUGAGGUAAUGGCCCACCAAACCUGUAACCGGUACGGGCUCUGAGAGGAGGAGCCCGGAGAUGGGCACUGAGACAAGGGCCCAGGCCCUAUGGGGCGCAGCAGGCGCGAAACCUCUGCAAUAGGCGAAAGCUUGACAGGGUUACUCUGAGUGAUUUCCGUUAAGGAGAUCUUUUGGCACCUCUAAAAAUGGUGCAGAAUAAGGGGUGGGCAAGUCUGGUGUCAGCCGCCGCGGUAAUACCAGCACCCCGAGUGGUCGGGACGUUUAUUGGGCCUAAAGCAUCCGUAGCCGGUUCUACAAGUCUUCCGUUAAAUCCACCUGCUUAACAGAUGGGCUGCGGAAGAUACUAUAGAGCUAGGAGGCGGGAGAGGCAAGCGGUACUCGAUGGGUAGGGGUAAAAUCCGUUGAUCCAUUGAAGACCACCAGUGGCGAAGGCGGCUUGCCAGAACGCGCUCGACGGUGAGGGAUGAAAGCUGGGGGAGCAAACCGGAUUAGAUACCCGGGUAGUCCCAGCUGUAAACGAUGCAGACUCGGUGAUGAGUUGGCUUAUUGCUAACUCAGUGCCGCAGGGAAGCCGUUAAGUUUGCCGCCUGGGGAGUACGGUCGCAAGACUGAAACUUAA
rnacentral:rRNA from 1 species